rnacentral:rRNA from 1 species
GAUGAACGCUGGCGGCGUGCCUAAUACAUGCCAGUCGAGCGAACGGACGAGAAGCUUGCUUCUCUGAUGUUAGCGGCGGACGGGUGAGUAACACGUGGAUAACCUACCUAUAAGACUGGGAUAACUUCGGGAAACCGGAGCUAAUACCGGAUGAUAUUUUGAACCGCAUGGUUCAAAAGUGAAAGACGGUCUUGCUGUCACUUAUAGAUGGAUCCGCGCUGCAUUAGCUAGUUGGUAAGGUAACGGCUUACCAAGGCAACGAUGCAUAGCCGACCUGAGAGGGUGAUCGGCCACACUGGAACUGAGACACGGUCCAGACUCCUACGGGAGGCAGCAGUAGGGAAUCUUCCGCAAUGGGCGAAAGCCUGACGGAGCAACGCCGCGUGAGUGAUGAGGGUCUUCGGAUCGUAAAACUCUGUUAUUAGGGAAGAACAUAUGUGUAAGUAACUGUGCACAUCUUGACGGUACCUAAUCAGAAAGCCACGGCUAACUACGUG